rnacentral:rRNA from 1 species
UACGUAGGGUGCGAGCGUUGUCCGGAAUUAUUGGGCGUAAAGGGCUCGUAGGCGGUUUGUCGCGUCGGGAGUGAAAUCCACUGGCUUAACUGGUGGCUUGCUUUCGAUACGGGCAGACUGGAGGUAUGCAGGGGAGAACGGAAUUCCUGGUGUAGCGGUGAAAUGCGCAGAUAUCAUGAGGAAGACCAGUGGCGAAGGCGGGUCUCUGGACAGUUCCUGACACUGAGACACGAAGGCCAGGGGAGCAAACGGG